rnacentral:rRNA from 1 species
GAAACUUAAAGGAAUUGGCGGGGGAGUACUACAAGGGGUGGAGGCUGCGGUUUAAUUGGAUACAACGCCGGACAACUCACCAGGAUUGACAGCAAUAUGAUGGACAGUCUGAAGGGCUUUCCUGAUGCGCUGAGAGGUGGUGCAUGGCCACCGCCAGCUCGUGCUGUGAAGUGUCCUGUUAAGUCAGGCAACGAGCGAGACCCACGCCUCCAGUUGCAAACCCGCUUCUCCGGAAGCGGGUGCACUCUGGAGGGACUGCCGGUGCUAAAUCGGAGGAAGGAGUGGGCGACGGUAGGUCUGUAUGCCCCGAAUUUCCUGGGCUACACGCGGCCUACAAAGCGACGGACAAUAGGAUGCAACCCCGAAAGGGGAAGCUAAACCCUUAAACCUUCGCGUAGUUUGGAUCGAGGACUGGGACUCGUCCUCGUGAAACUGGAAUCCCUAGUAAUCGCGUGUCAUUAUCGCGCGGUGAAUAUGUCCCUUCUCCUUGCACACACCGCCCGUCAAACCACCCGAGUGGGGUUCAGACGAGGUGUCAUCCAUAGCGGGUGACUUCAAAUCUGGGCUCUGUGAGGAGGGUUAAGUCGUAACAA